rnacentral:tRNA from 1 species
GUGGCUUUUAGUUGGUAAAGCGCUCGUCUAGCAUACAAGCGUCCUGGGUUCGAAUCCCAGC